rnacentral:rRNA from 1 species
UACGUAGGGUGCGAGCGUUGUCCGGAAUUAUUGGGCGUAAAGAGCUCGUAGGCGGUUUGUCGCGUCUGCUGUGAAAACUGGAGGCUCAACCUCCAGCCUGCAGUGGGUACGGGCAAACUAGAGUGCGGUAGGGGAGAUUGGAAUUCCUGGUGUAGCGGUGGAAUGCGCAGAUAUCAGGAGGAACACCGAUGGCGAAGGCAGAUCUCUGGGCCGUAACUGACGCUGAGGAGCGAAAGCGUGGGGAGCGAACAGG